UUAAUAGAGAGUUUGAGCAAGACAACGAAGUACGAAGACGAAGGCAUACUUGACAAUUUUUGCCGUGUGUACAUUAUCUUGCGCAUACUAAGUUGGACGUCACUGGUGGUUGCACAACGUGUCUUCCCAUGUGUCGCUGUUUAUAAAUACUGACCAUAGUUCUUGCCCUGAUCCAUAAAAAACAGCGAGACAUGAAACUAUAUCCCGUCUUUGUCCUUCUGCCUUCGUGCAGAACGAAGUUCACAACGAAUUUUGCCAAAAUAUUCGUUGUGAACGAAGGCAGAAGACGAAGACGGGAUAUGGAUUCAUGUCUCGCUGUUUUAUCCUGAUCAGGGUAAGGAUUUGAGUCAGCAUUCACAAACAGCUAGACAUGAAUCUCUAAUCUGUCUUCACUCCUGACCCUAAACUCAGAAUGUGCAAGGUAAUGUGAAAGACAGGCAAAAAUUGUCAACCACGUCGUCGUCGUCCGACUUCGUUCUCUUGCUCAAACUCUCUAAUAAUGGAAGGGGGGCGGUGGGUGAGAAAAGGGGGCGGCUUCAACUAUUUUUGCCUGUAUUGGGGGCGGCCUCAAAUUGAAAAUUAUGUGACAAGGGGCAACCCCAAUUUUUUAAUAUUUUCCUACUCAUUUUCAAUCCCUCGCCUUUAUCGUAUCCCACAAAAUAUUUCACCUUUUUC